UUUUUUAUAGUGUAACCAACACAUAACAUUUUCAUUGUUAAAAUGAUAAUAAUCUAAAAAAA
rnacentral:tRNA from 1 species